AGGAUGUCCUAGAUCUCCAAGGUUUCUUGAAAAACUAAAACCCAUUAUUGUUUAAUGCCUUCUAGAAGUUGCCUAGGAAACACUUCUUAGAAAAGAUUCACAAACAGACCUGGAAUGAAUCCUUCUCGCUCUUCAUACACUGAGACAGGUUGAAAUCUAAGACCAUGGCAGGGAGAAGCCGCACGCGGAGUCGCACUGUCAGGAUCCAGGAUCGGUAGGAAACAGGCUCUGUGCCCUGCUCUGGCACCAGCCGGGCUGGCCCUUAUCUGAAUCCAUUCCAAAUGCUUGACGCUACCUUAAGCCACAGGAUCUUAAUCAGAUUGCAAGUUCUUCAGGCUUGGAACCAUAUCACCACAAUGAACAGCCAAGUAUAAAGGGUCCCUGGGGAAACCCCAACCGGCCUGCGCCCUGGGAGAAUGGGGUGGAGCCACGGAAGUUCACGCGCUUUGCAGAGGGGAGGAGCCUGGCCUCUCCUGAUCCUGGAUAGUACCUGAGAUUCAAUCGCUGAGGCGGGAAAACCCGCUAGCAGGACUGUUGCUUUGCUGAGAGUCCCUGUUUCCCUUUUUUUCCUUUUGGCCCGAUAAAUUCCAUUUUUCUCACCCUUCAAAA
rnacentral:lncRNA from 10 species